rnacentral:rRNA from 1 species
UACGUAGGGGGCUAGCGUUGUCCGGAAUCAUUGGGCGUAAAGAGCGUGUAGGCGGCUCGGUAAGUCCGCUGUGAAAGUCCAGGGCUCAACCCUGGAAUGCCAGUGGAAACUGUCGAGCUAGAGUCUGGAAGAGGCGAGUGGAAUUCCUGGUGUAGCGGUGAAAUGCGCAGAUAUCAGGAGGAACACCAAUGGCGAAGGCAGCUCGCUGGGACGGUACUGACGCUGAGACGCGAAAGCGUGGGGAGCAAACAGG